rnacentral:rRNA from 1 species
AGAGUUUGAUCCUGGCUCAGGAUGAACGCUGGCGGCGUGCUUAACACAUGCAAGUCGAACGAAGCGCGCGGAAGGAAGGCCUUCGGGCCGGAGAGCCGCGGGACUGAGUGGCGGACGGGUGAGUAACGCGUGGGCAACCUGCCCCGUACAGGGGGAUAACAGCCGGAAACGGCUGCUAAUACCGCAUAAGCGCACAGCGCCGCAUGGCGCGGUGUGAAAAGCUCCGGCGGUACGGGAGGGGCCCGCGUCUGAUUAGGCAGUUGGCGGGGCAGCGGCCCACCAAACCGACGAUCAGUAGCCGGCCUGAGAGGGCGGCCGGCCACAUUGGGACUGAGACACGGCCCAAACUCCUGCGGGAGGCAGCAGUGGGGAAUAUUGCACAAUGGGGGAAACCCUGAUGCAGCGACGCCGCGUGAGCGAAGAAGUAUUUCGGUAUGUAAAGCUCUAUCAGCAGGGAAGAAAAAAAUGACGGUACCUGAGUAAGAAGCACCGGCUAAAUACGUGCCAGCAGCCGCGGUAAUACGUAUGGUGCAAGCGUUAUCCGGAUUUACUGGGUGUAAAGGGAGCGUAGGCGGCGCGUUAAGUCUGAUGUGAAAACCCGAGGCUCAACCACGGGAGUGCAUUGGAAACUGGCGUGCUGGAGUGCCGGAGAGGUAAGCGGAAUUCCUAGUGUAGCGGUGAAAUGCGUAGAUAUUAGGAGGAACACCAGUGGCGAAGGCGGCUUACUGGACGGCAACUGACGCUGAGGCUCGAAAGCGUGGGGAGCAAA